UCCUGCCUUCGCCGUGAUGUUACAUAUAAAGUGCAAGGGCGAUAACAUCGCCGCUGGGCGAAGUAUGCUGUAUAUGCAAGUGAAAGCGUGAGGGUGAGCCAACAGUGGCGGCUCAAUAUCGACCGUGCAAAGGAGGAAAGCGGGAAGUGCCCCGUCUACUGUCGCAGGCGAGGCACAUGGGGGCAGGAUGCAGGAAUUUUUCCAGAGAAAGAGCUGGGCCCUCACCCCGUGCUGUCACCUGCAAGUAGAAGGGCUCCAUCAAGGGAAGUGCCGCCAGCCCAAACUGCACAACCCUGGCACAAGAGAAACCAAGGUUUACCAUCUGCUGUGGACUUGCUCAAGAUGCACGACGCACAAGACGUAACCAGGAGUCAUUGCUCAGACGACCUGGCCUCUGCAGUGACCACAUGCCAACUUCAGCGGCUGCAUUCAAGAUGAUUGUCAUUGCAAAGCCUUACUGACUUACAGCGCAAUGUGGGGUUGCAUGCAUUUAUAUUUAUAGGUCUCCUCAAAUUAAAACAAAAAUAAUUUUACUAUUGUUCUAAUUGGUUUUCUCUGGGCUGUCCAUACUCGCACCAUCUUCACUGCUCAUCUUCCAUUUAUUAUGUGCAACACUCCUUAUGGUUACUGUAAGCAUUCAACAAUCUUUCGAUCAACCCUACUGGCCACAGUUGCGCUUUGUCAUCAGAUGUACUGCAAAUGCCUCCUCUCCACUGAAUGUAGCCCCUCUUGUUACUUGAUUCUGUUUAGCACUCCCUUUCGCACUAUUGCUCAGUGCAUCCACUCUCACACAUAGCUUUGUAUGUCAAUGUUGGUGCAUUUCCAGGGAACAAAGACAAGGAAUGCCGGUUCCACUAAAAUCAAUCUUUACUACGAGAAAACUUCAUUCAGAACAAAGAUGGUUUACAUGUGUAUAUAAAUGAACACGUUAUUCAUCGAAAGCCAGAAGUACUUGCUCGCCUCAGUAUCAUUACGGCACGGUGCUAAAAGGCGCUUCAUCAGCAGGUGUGCAUUCUUACACACAGCACUACAUGCAACAUAGC